UCUGUUGGCCUCAGUCCACAAGAUCUGACGCAGCACGGUUCUCGUCAGUCUGUAGAAUGUGUCAGGCCCCAGACACGCCGAGGCCUUAGAGAGCCAGUGAGAGCCACUCCACGGCGAUCCUCAGUGUUCCGUGCCGCCCUGACACUCCUCGUGUUUGCCCUGCAGGAUGGUGACCAUGCAGAGGUGGCACGCCGUCAGCCUGGCACUGGUGGUGGCGGCGUCGUGGACUGUGACAGCUGUGACGGUUGAUCCCACCAUCUCCCCUGAGAUGACCAGAAAUGCCACUGCUGACGAUCCACUGACGGUGCAAAGCCAGAGCAAGUACUGCGACUGGGACAGAGCGCUGGGUCCCGUCUGUGUCUACAAUACCACCACGCAGGUGGUGGUAGUGCCGGAGGGGCUCUCGUUCACUUCGGGGCAGCUGGAACUGGAGAUCCAUAAUGCCAGUGUGGUGAACCUCUACCCGACCUGCGUGUCCUGGAUCCAGAUUUAUCACACCGGGAUGAUUCACACGUUUCCCUCCGAGAGGCGCUUCGAAUGCCGUACUUGGCUCCGCAUCUACAGUUCCAAGGUGGGGCGAGUGGAGCACGGCGUGAAGGACCUCACCCUGCAGGACUCCGAGGUGGACACCAUCAAACUCAUCAAUCAGAGGGACUUCAUGGCCAUCAACUCCACCAUUAACGAGAUCGAGCAGCUUGACUGGGGAGGCUACAGGUCCACCGUGCUUAACACCACCAUCAAGCGGUUGGCGGGCGUGGAGGCGCGGGACAGCUGGUAUGUGGUCGGAGGGCGCUUUGGUGCAGUGGCGAGUGGCGGUAUUGUGUUCAACGCCAAGGAGAUGUCCGUCAUUAACAGCACCAUCAACCACAUGUCCUCCAAGGCCCUCACCAUCAAAAGCGGGACGGUAUCCUUCGCUAACGUCACCAUAUCCUACCUGGAAGCGAUGGCUAUCACUCUGGCAAGUCCUACGGCAUCCCUUUCUCUCUCCAACGUCACCAUCAGAGCCGCCAACGCCCCCUGCUUCGUCAUCCUUGACAGGGAAAGGAUAAAAUUGGAAAAUGUGACGGUUUUCAGUAUCCCCACUAACGAGAACUCUUCCUUCUUCCAAUUCCUUGAUGAUGAUUUAGGAGGCGAGAAGAACGCAUCCAAGUCGACGAUUAAGGAUCUGGGCCGGAAGUGCUCUUUUAAUGAAACUACUGUGUCCUGCGAUCAUGCCGGUUUGGAGGAGGACGUGUUGAUCGAGAUUGUUGGCGAGGACAUACACGACUUCAAACAAGUACACAUCAGCAACGUCAGCUCCCUCCUGGUCACCUCCACGGGAUGCCAGACGGACCUACGACUGGAGAACGUGCACGCCACCCUCCCUCACCUCACCGCCUUGCCUAGGGAGAACGAGGAGGGUUGCAACGUCACGGUCUCCGCCAAGAACUCGUCCCUAAAUGUGGUGUGGGCGAAAAAUAUCAAUAACUUCAACGCGGUAUCCUCCACUGUCAAACGAAUCCACGGGGGCAGUCUGGACAGCUUCACCCUCACCAAGUCUUCCGUGCAGGAGAUUGAUGAGGUGGAGGUGGCGGGGAGCGGUGCUGUCUGGUCCAAAGCGGUUUUCCUAGUCAGCAUCUCCAUCACUCUGAAAGCGCCGCUCAUCUCCUCCGUCAUUAACUUUUCUCAUAUCGUGCACCACAUGGGCGAGAAUUCCUUCAUUAUAGACCAUCCCGGCAAGACCUCUAAGCUGGACGCCUGGAUGCUGGGCUGGAUGGAGCGGCACAGCAUCGUGGUGAAGAACGGCAGCCACGUGGAGCUUAGCAACAUGGUGGCCGUGAGCGUGGCAGAGGAGGCGAUCUACCUGGAGGAGGGAGCCACAGCCACGUGUAGAAACAUCAGGAUACUGCAGAGUCCCGUGUACAUCUUCUCCGUCGCGUCCCGAAGCCAGGUGGAGUUACAAGGCGACUUACUGGCUGGUCUGUCCACGCCUUUGAUCUACGUUCGAUCCCCGCCCGUCUCCGUUAACAAGCAGAGCCCAUUCACCGUCAGCGACUCCCACAUCUCCGCCUACUGCCGCACCAUCCCCUACUACCUGCAGAUAUGUGACUUCUCUUCCGCUCCCAGGGAGGAGGUCACGGUGGAUUUUGCCAACAGUCAAGUGAGUAACAGAGUAAUCAUCAAAGGGGCCUCUUCAGUGAUGCUCUUUCCCUCCUGCGUAGAAAAGGUAAUCUUGAUGAACGUAAAGACGGCAAGCACCACAAGGAACGAGCGUGAGUGCGGCACGUGGCUGGAGGCUUUGGGAGUGCACCUCACCAACGUGACCUCGGGCGUACACGACGUGACCCUCAAAGCGUGUACGGUGGAGCUGCUGGCGCCGGACCGGAGACUGAGGGACGUGGAUUUGGAGGAGACGACAGUGGAGCGGGUGGUGGGCGUGCACUGGGCGGGCUACACGGGGGUCUUUAACAGCUCGAGACUCGGGGAGGUGAGGAGUCUUCGCGCGGACAGUCGCCUCAUGAUGUCCAACUCGAAGGUAGAGACGCUGGUGGCGGGCGGCAUGUUCCUGGCGGCGGAGGCGAUCAUAGUGAAUACAACCUUCAAGGAGAUCCAUACGGCGGGCAUGACGGUGAACGGGUCCACGCGCAUGCAAGACGUCACCAUCGAGAAGCUGCAGAGGGGCGGCAUCAAGGUGCUGGACGGCCUGCUGCUCCUGGUCAACGUCAACAUCCUGGAGACUGAAGAGGAGAGCAUCACGGCGGAGGCCAACGGCGGCAUAUCCUUCCAGAACGUGACUGUGGGGGGCAAGAAAGUGCACUGGCGGGGUUACCUCACUCAGGCUAACUACUCCAAGCAGUCCGUUGUGUUCCUUAACAGACACUUCAAUGAGACGAAAAGCAAGGACACCUCGGGCACGCCACAGUCUCGCGGCACCACGGACACCAUCCCAGGCACGCCACGGUCACGCGGCCCCACCACCACCACCACCACCGCCGCCACCACCACGGAGCACGGCCGGUCCUCUCCUAAGGCGUCGUCGAUGAUCCAAUGGCGAACGACGAGCGGGGAGGCCGAGGUGAAGAGCUCAGUGGCCCCCGACGCCCUCGCAUCCCCUGCCAUCGCGUCUUCCUGGAAGUGGGCGGGAGCAGGCAUCGGCUUCUGCAUGGGGCUGCUGGUGGGCUGCUGCAUCUUCAUUGUCGUCAAGGUUGUUAAGCCCAACAAGGGAAUGCUGACCAUGCCCACUGUAUUCUGGCGAGUGAAAGACGACCAGCAUGAACUUCUACAGGAAGACCAGGGCGUCGAUGAGUCGGCAGGCGCGCGGCGAGACCAAGGCUACAGUGCUUUGCCUCGUUCAGACAUACAAUAAUAAUUCGUUUUAAUGAUCCCAUAUAUACUCAUCCUCUUAUCUUGUUUCUUCUUAUACCUUAUCUCCUCCUGUGGUCAUUCUCUUUUCCCGUUUCUUUAUAUACUUUCCCCGACCUGUGUUUCUUCUUCAGUGGCUCAGUUUUCCAUUACCUUAUUCCGUAGUUGUACUAUUUUCCUUUAUCUAAUUCAAUCAUUCCCUUAUUUGUUCUACUUCCUUGUGUUCAUUCCUCCUCCUUCUCCUCUGUGAUAUCUCUUCUUGCUCCUCCUGUGUUUCAUCUUUCCUUUAUCUAAUCCCUCAAUUCCCUCUCUUACUCCCUAUUCUUAUUUGUUCAUCUUUCUUCUUUCUCACGAACACAUCCCCACCUCUACGUUCCCUGUAAAGUCCACCACUGACUUAUUUUGCAUUCCUCUCUCCUCCCUGUCUUCUCCACCACCCCCCUGUGCCCUUCUACCGCUUCCCUUUCCUCUCUCUCUGGUCUGCGUUACUCCUUCCAGCUUCUCGUCUUCUCUUUCCUCUCAUCCUUAUUCAUUUCCUCUGUUCGCCCCUCUGGCUUCUGUCCCUCUCUCCCUUCCGUUCUCAUCACGUUCCCUUUCACUUUACGUACUUCCUUUUGUUCCCCCAUUUAAUCUUCCCUACCCUUCUACCGCCCCUCUUCUAAAGCCUACCUCACAUCUCACCACGUCCUAAGUGACGUAUUCGUUUCCUCCCUCACCCCGUGCCUUCCCCACUCUUGUACCCUGACUCUCAUUCACUCGUGACUGCGUAGUUAGUAGACGCCUGUGACGGUGCAGAGAGAGAGAGAGAGUUUUUACUGACAAGGUAAAUUAGACAAAUCACGUAUACAAAAUAUUUUUCUAUGAAUAUUACGAAAAGGAAAGAAAUGACAACGCUUCGAAACAGAAAUUACCGCCCAAAGAUAAGUUAAAGAAAAGGUAAUCCAAUCAAUUGUGGAAAUGCAAACAGAAAUAGUACGUUAAUCUGUGUUGCCGCGUUUUGCCUGUCUCCCUGCACUGAGCUUUGUGUUUGUACUCUUGAUAGAUUAAUGAUCCGCUGCUUCUAAUCUCUCUCUCUCUCUCUCUCUCUCUCUCUCUCUCUCUCUCUCUCUCUCUCUCUUGAAGGUAUAUACGUAAUGUGAACAUUGGAACAUUGAUUGAAGAAAUGAUUGUAAUAAAUAUUUCUCGUUUUUUUUUUUAAUAUUUCUAAUAUAUACAAUAUAGUGUUUUUGUUUUGUGUGUCGAUAUUGUAUAUACGUAAGACAAAAUAUAUUGUUAGACUAGCGAGUUCUCGGAACUCACUAACAACCUUCACCCCUACCUAACCUCGCCAUCACAAAACACGCAAUAAAUUCCGGGGAAAGGCAGGCUACGCGGCGCACCUGCGUUUCCCUGCUGCACUCCGCUGUACUUUGGUAAACUCGGACCGUAUCCUGAAGCGUCUCUCUCAUCACAACUGCUAUUUUCAAAGGUCAAAGAGAUAAUAAGCCGUUAUCAAGAGUGUUUUUCUUCUAAUAAUGUAAAAAUCUUAAUCUGUCAGUAGAACCAUAGACACACACACACGCACAUCUCUCUCUCUCUCUCUCUCUCUCUCUCUCUCUCUCUCUCUCUCUCUCUCUCUCUCUCUCUCUCUCUCUCUCUCUCUAUAUAUAUAUAUAUAUAUAUAUAUAUAUAUAUAACCUAAAUUCUGCUGUAUUUGGAAAGUGGAAGUUUUGCAUAAUAUUUGGAAUAAUUAAAUAUGUACGAUAAUUUUACCAGAAGUACAAUAAUUUCAACAGGUGUAGUACGAUAAUAUGGCCAAAACAAUCUGGCAACGCUGAGUCUGCUGCCUGACAAAUUAACCAGUUAGUGUGUCGCGUCUAUGGGUGGUGUUAGCGUGCGUCUGUUUCAACUCCCAGCCUGACAAUUUUUUUUUUUUUUUUUUUUUUUUUUUUUUGUGUGUAACCACGCCUACACAGUGGCUGCCAAGACUUACCCAUGAGUUAAACCUUCUUUAGUUGGUAAUGAGGAAGGCGUGGGCUCUAGCAGUGGACACCCGAAGGCAGCAGUGGGUGAAAACUAGCAAAAUAAAGAAAAGUUUGGCUGUGAGAAGGUGUUAGACAGCCAGCCAUAGUGACGAGGAGGCAGGAAGAUAGAUCACCACCACCACCACCACCAUCACCACCACUGGGAAGAAGGCUAAAAAAAUAGACUUCCUCUCACCUGAAUGAAGUAUGAAUGCAUUGUCACAUGGAAAGUGAAAUGCUUGAAACACCAAUGAGUCACCUUGGGCCCCCUUAUUGCUGGUCUGGCAGCAACAGCAGCAGCACUACCACUAUUACAUCUUGCCAAGAUUCUGGCAAAGGGCUAGCAGCCCCACGCAAUGCCUGUGAAAAGAGAUGCGGGCCAUGAAGAGCUGAAGAGAAACCCAAGGUCAUGAGGGUGGCAGCCAGGCGGCUUGAGGCAGCAGUGACCCAUUCAACAGUGUGCUGGGUGUGUGAGGUUGGGGAAGGCAACACUCCAGCAUGCUGAGAGGCCAGGAGACGUAUGAGGGAGCGGGAGAGGGUGGAAAUCAGCGGCUCUCUAUCAUGACGGAGCUGGACCCACAGCACACCACCCUCCAGUUGGCCACCACCAGGCCGUCGCCAUGCAUCCAUGGUGACCAGCACAGUGCCCCCAGAGACACCCUGCACCAUGGCCCACACAGCUGGCCAUGCCUCUCUUGACACGUGUUCCAACACCAAGCUCCCACCACUCUCUGCAACACCACGCACUGUCUCCAGGCCAGCUGCCCGACCUCUGGCGAGAUCAAUUCUGGUGACUCCAACACCACUACCAGUACCCUUGAGAUGGGCCAAGCAUCUGACGAGGGAGCACUUGCCACUAUCUCGUGGCCCGUACACCACCACACAUUGAGACUGCUCCAUCUGAUGAAAGAAAAAGGUUGGCAAUCCCACAUGAGGUGGCCCAGGCAAGGCACCACUCACUCACACACACAUAAUUUACACUCUAAAUUCUGUUGGCCCCACAAGAUCUGACGGCAUUCACUGGUCUACUACUCCUUCAUAAUGAGACAGUUCCCUACCCUGCACCUACUCCAAUCUUAAGAUCACAGUAGAUGCAGGGUGCUUUCUACAGUGAGCUGGGUCUAUAUGCCAAUGAUCCCUGCAAAAUGUACCCACAUUCACCCCCAGGGGGGAUGAUAAGAGAAAAAUAUACAGUAACAAGAUGACCAAGACAUUCUCCCUUUCAAUGCUGUGAAUGACUUGCAAGGUGAUGACAAGACCAUCCUACACAAGAGACAAUCAGUAAUGUAAACUCACCCGUGUCCAUUUGUGAUGGCCAAUUGAGAAAUGGCUGAUGGCUGCCUUUGUGAUUCCUAAGUGUGCUGAAUUGACCUCCAUCUCCUGGAGAGGGUCUGACCGCCUCCGUUCACCUCUGCUCAUGCUGCUGCUGCUGCUGCCACCACUGCUAUGUCGCCCAGAGCCACCCAUGCUAAUUCCCCCUGGGCUGUGAUUUCUGAAGAGAAACAUCAGCAUAUAUAAUAAAGUUCUUUCCAUCCCCACAGCAUUAAGGCAUCUAUUUUUGUAAGACCAUUAAUACAAAACAAAUGUUACAAGCGAGUAAGUACUGUACGUACUAUUUUUUCACUAGACAAUUAAUACAAAACAAGUGUUAUAAGUGAGUAAAUACUGUAUAUACUAUUUUUUAUAAGAACACAAAACAAGUGUUACAAGUGAGUAAAUACUAUAUCAACAGCAGGCCCUUUCACUUUAUAAAUACUUUUAAUCUGGUGCUACACUGCAGUCCAGUAACUCAACAAGAAAUACAUUUGAAAACUACACUGCUGAUGACAAAAGAUAUACACACCUUGUUAAUGUUUCGAGAUGGUGCAGAGCAAGAGAGGUGAGUGCCUCUUCAAGUACAGCCCAGAGGGUGGUGGUGGUGACUCGCACAGCUCCAAUGGGCCAUCGUUCCCCAUGAUGCUUGCUGCUGCUGCUGCUGGUGCCUGAUUCAAACUCAUCUUCUUGCUCAUGGGUGCAGCUUCCAUCUCCAUUUAUAACUCUGUCUAGGUCCAGCCCCUCCAGCCACACGGAACAGGUACUUUCACUCUGACCUGUGAUAAGCAUGUUGUAAAUAGCUGAAUGGUAUUCCCAAUGAGGCUUCUGUAAUCAUUAAAUCUAAUCUAACCUUCA